UGUGUAGCUUAGUGGUAGAGUGCACGUCUCAUAUGCAUGAGGUCAUAGGUUCAAUCCCUGGCACA
rnacentral:tRNA from 1 species